GGCGGCUACAGGGCAGGAGUGUGGGUACUGGCAGAGCUGUGGAAGGAAGGUGGGGGGUUGUCCCAGGGCUGGACAACCAGGGUGCUGCAGGGAGAGAGCGGGGAGCGCUGGCAGAGCUGUGCGGGAAGCUCAGGGCUUGGCUAGUUGCGGGGUGGAGGGCAGGAGCGGAAGAGCCUGGCAGAGUUGUUUGAAGAAUCACAGCAAGGAAGAAAAUUGAAGGUAAAAAAAGGCACACUAAGACCUCCCCUUCUCCCCCCGCCCCCCCCUCCACCCCCCUUCCACAUGCGUAGCUUACGGUUCUGUGGUGGGAGAGGUAUUUCCAGGAAGGAAGAAGAGGAGAAGGAGGAAGACGGUUGGUUUGCUGGGCAGCCCGUCUUUCCCCAUGGUGCAGAGCAGGUCGUGGUCAUAUCAUAUUGAAAUGGAGCAAGAUACCAGGUGGGGUACAGGCAUCUCAUGACGGUCCUUCUUCUGGCUUCGAGGUUGGUGUUCAAGGCAGGUGGAAUGAAGUUGGAGCCAGGCUCUUCUCAGAGGUGCACAGUGGCAGGAGCAGACAGAAGGAAAAACCGCUUCCCCGGAGGGUGAUGCAACAACAGAUCAGUUGCCCAGAGGUGCCAUGGGAUAGCCAUCCCCAGAGACCAUCCAGACUUCAUGGCACAAGGCCAUGUUCAAGACUGCCAAUAGAGAAAAAGAUCGUGCUUACAAGGGAUAGAUAUUUCAAAUAUUUUUCCCACUUAUAUUUGACGUUCAUUUAGCUACAAAAAAGUGAAACCCCAAAUCAGCUGACUGGGGACUCAGCUGAUAAGUAUUUGUCCGGAUUCUUGAGAUGGAGGAUGCUACAGGAAAGCAAGACAAGAAGUCCUAAUGGAGCAUGAGGCAAGGAAAUCAGAUAUUCUCAUGUUUAACCCUUUCACCUGCAUCUCUACUUUUUUUCUGUUGCACCUUGUUAGGCAGGACAGAGCUGGUUGUGUUUGGCCCUUCAGAUCAGGGAAAGGAGUAUGGCCCAUGAUGCUGUAACACAGCUGGAGAACAUGCCAUUUUUUGGGACCCUUCUGAACACAGCAGCCCACUACCAAGCCUGAUUAUGCCAUUGCAGUUCCAUCCUGUUUUGGGGAUACCCUCUGCUGGCCACAGAUGGUGGGAAGGGAACAGGAGAAGACCUUGUCUAAGAGUUCAGGGGCUGUGAGGAGAGAACCAGCUGUGCAUCCCACGCUCAGAGCACAGGACUUCCCACAGGAGCUUAACCACGGCACAUACCUUGGUCACUAAGUGUGGAAACACCUUGUCUUGACAGGAGGGACAGUGAGGGUUACCAGGGGUGCCUAGAGCUAGUCAGUUCCAGUAAAGUGAACUGGAGAACAUGUGGCACGGUUAUGCAGUUGCCCCCGGUAAUAACCCAGCCUUCACCUCACUGUGGGUACGGAGCCAAAGAGUGGGAGGCUCUAAAAAAUGUGCAAGGUUAGCACUUUAGUAGCAUGCACGUAGAGUCCUGUCAAUACACAGAACGGUGAUUUUUAUUGCCUCCACCUCUGCCUGCCUUGUUCAUAUAUACCCUCCCUUCACUCUCAAAUAAGAUUUUUCAAAUCUCCCAGCUGUCAGGUUAUAUACAUAGUGUGUCAACAGGGGGUCCAGGAGUCCUGCUGAAAGCACGUUCUUAAGUGGGGUACUGGUUUCCACAGCAGGAACACUGGUGUGGCAGGAAGGGGAAGAGGAGGAUUCCAGGGCAGGAUCAAAAGGCAUCAGGAGAUCAGUGUAUUAGGCUUGCAAGAGGAUCAGAAAGAGGAAGAGUGAGAAGUUUCCUUGAAGGAGGUCUGUGGGUCCUGUAUUCAAUGUAAUGCCUUGCUUGUAGGAUUUUCUUGACCCUCAAAAGAUGACCCUUUAGAAGGCUGAACAGAAAGAAGCUUUCUCUUGCUAUUGAGCUACAGGAGUAGCUGGCACAAUGUUGCUUCUCCACUUGAAAAAUUUUUGAGAAAAUUUUUCACUGUGACCCUGAAUAAAAAAAUAAAAUGUACAUGAAUGAUGUUCCUC
ensembl:lncRNA